AGCAGCCGCGGUAAUUCCAGCUCCAAUAGCGUAUAUUAAAGUUGUUGCAGUUAAAAAGCUCGUAGUUGAAUUUCGGGAUCAGCAGGUCGGUCGUGCCACUGGUAUGCACUGGCCUUGCUGAUUCCUCCCUCUUGAUGAGCCGUAAUGCCAUUAAUUUGGUGUUGCGGGGAAUCAGGACUGUUACUUUGAAAAAAUUAGAGUGUUUAAAGCAGGCAUGCGCUUGAAUACAUUAGCAUGGAAUAAUGAAAUAGGACGUUCGAUCCUAUUUUGUUGGUUUCUAGGAUUGACGUAAUGAUUAAUAGGGAUAGUUGGGGGCAUUAGUAUUCAAUUGUCAGAGGUGAAAUUCUUGGAUUUAUUGAAGACUAACUACUGCGAAAGCAUUUGCCAAGGAUGUUUUCAUUAAUCAAGAACGAAAGUUAGGGGAUCGAAGACGAUCAGAUACCGUCGUAGUCUUAACCAUAAACUAUGCCGACUAGGGAUCGGAUGAUGUUAAUUUUUUAAUGACUCAUUCGGCGCCUUA
rnacentral:rRNA from 1 species